rnacentral:lncRNA from 1 species
AACGGAUGUAUGUAGCACUUAGAUACAUCUGUUUGAGCAUUAACUCAUUCCGGACGGAGGGAGUAUAUAUCAAAUGGAAUUAUCGACCAUUUUUUAUCACAUCCAUCCAGAUGCAUUAUUUAUCAGUUAUUAAAUAUCAAAGUUUACCAUCUCGCCAGUACAUAUCCCGGCAGAAUAUGCAUUUUGAGCUAUCUUCUAAACGUUACAACAACAUUCUACAGUAAAUCUGCAGUGUCCUGUUUCACCGAUACCGGCUGCAAAACAAUAUUCACGACAACGCUGAUCAUAGCAAUCUAUCAUAUCAUAGCACCUCUUCUCUGCAAAAAGUGGUUAAACUGUCAAAUUCUUGUAUAUGGUUCUAUGUACAUGCAUUGUAGAAACAAAAGAUACUCUCUAUAUAACUAAAUAUAAAACGUGUCUUGACACUGUCAUAGUGUCAAGCAACGUGUUAUGUGAAGUUAUAAAGGAAGUAGUAUAAAUGGAUUGUCAAGCUAAAAAAAAGAAAGGCAGUAACCUUUUGCAGCCGACAAGGGCAGGGUUGUAGCCAUGACCACAAGCACUAGCAAGCAUACGACCCAUGCGUUCCUCUUGGUAAGCACCAUGGCGAGUUAGCAAGUCUUCUCUUGCUUUUUUCCACUCUUGUUUAUGCGUCCUAUGGUUUGAU